rnacentral:lncRNA from 1 species
GAACUGUGUAAGAAGUUUUUCUUGUGUCAAAUAUUCAAUUGAAAGUUCAAUAAACCUUCCAGUGACUAGAUCUUUCAAAAAUAGAUCUAGGGUUUUGGAAAAAACUUUGAGAUCUUAAAUGAUCGAAACCAAAAUCAACUAUGAAAAUUGAUUUUUUACGGUCAAUCGACCAUCAAAUUUCGAAAAAUUGAUAGUUUAAGCUCUGAUACCCCUAUUAUACAUAUAUUACUCUUCGAAGAUUCAAAUCAUACAAACCCUUCAGAGAAGUUUACAACCAGAUCCUGAACACGAAAGAUAUCAAAAUAUCUCAAAAUGGGCUCAAAUUAUAUUGUACCAUUUUGUAUCGUAGUAGCCACAAACCCAGAUCCUUUAACGACUCAUUGAAGUUGCUUCUAUGGAUACCAAAAGAUAUCAACCCAGAUCUCGAACAAUCUUCUCACGAGGAUUCACUUAGAAUAUUGAGCAAAACUUCCAAUCAAAGGUUGAAGUCGAAAGGGACGACAAACAGAAGAUAGGAAGAAAAUCCUAGUCUCGCAAAAGAAAAUCAGACAAUUGGAAUGAUUAUGGCAAUAAUAGAAGACCCUAUUUAUACCCCUAACCACCACCAUUGAAGUUGCAUUAUGGAACACAAUUUCAGCCGUUUACGUUGGUUCAAGAUUUUGGAGCCAACUCAUGAAAUUAUCAUGCAAUAGUUUACCAAUCCACUGGAAUUUGAAACCCAAUUUAUCAUCAUAGCCCAAGUUGCAUUGAAUUUGACAUCACAGCUUAACAAUAUAAAUUUGAAAUUGAAAGACUAGCAAACAUCAUGCAAAAGCCAAGGAUAAAAGGUAUAACUUCCCAAAAGAUUAAAUAAAGUUAUAUAAAGAAAGAUUUAUGAUGAAGGUCCAUAAAAG